rnacentral:lncRNA from 1 species
GAUAUCUGACUCGAGCUCUGGUUCACCGUGAUGAGAACUUUGAAGAUCUCAAGGGUUUAUCAAAAUACAGUUAACUUACCCAAGACUUGCUAUGUUCAAAUCCUAUACUUCCAGUAGUGAGUCUUAGUAUAAAAUUGAUGAUGCUAUGAGCUUGAAGAGGAUAAUUUGAAUAGUAAUUCCAAAGGUGGGUAUGAGCUACCAGUGAAUGGGCUUCUAUGACAUGUUAUCUAGAGACUAAAGAUUUUUAUGCCAUAAAGUACUCUCAUCAGAUCCCAUCAAUUGCUAAAGAUUUUGAUGUCCUGGAUUUAUGAUAUUAGUUUUGCCACUAAUAUCAUAUGGGUUCAUUCUUAUGGACACCAUACCAUUUUAUUGUUAUCUAGUUUUAAAUUGUUUGCUUUGAUACUCAUGAUGCAUGUGAACUUCAGAGCCUUACAAAGAUGUGGUGAUGGAUUUGCAUAAUAAGAAGAGAAAGAAGAAGGGACAAUUUGGUAAAGAAAGGGGCUCAUGGAAUACUUUUCUAUCAAGAUGGAGAGUCUAAGAAAAUCUGAAUUUAUGAUAGCAUAGUUUCUUCCUCUCUUUUCGACUUUCCUCAAG